GACGAACGCUGGCGGCAUGCUUAACACAUGCAAGUCGAACGGAAAGGCCCUGCUUUUGUGGGGUGCUCGAGUGGCGAACGGGUGAGUAACACGUGAGUUACCUGCCCUUGACUUUGGGAUAACUUCAGUAAACUGGGGCUAAUUCCGGAUAGGAGCUCCUGCUGCAUGGUGGGGGUUGGAAAGUUUCGGCGGUUGGGGAUGGACUCGCGGCUUAUCAGCUUGUUGGUGGGGUAGUGGCUUACCAAGGCUUUGACGGGUAGCCGGCCUGAGAGGGUGACCGGCCACAUUGGGACUGAGAUACGGCCCAGACUCCUACGGGAGGCAGCAGUGGGGAAUAUUGCACAAUAGGCGGAAGCCUGAUGCAGCAACGCCGCGUGCGGGAUGACGGCCAUUCGGGUUGUAAACCGCUUUCGCCUGUGACGAAGCGUGAGUGACGGUAAUGGGUAAAGAAGCACCGGCUAACUACGUG
rnacentral:rRNA from 1 species